CAUCAGAUGCAGAACACCUGCAGUGUGUAGAGCUGUUACUAACACCUCCUGUUUCAGAUUCUUCUAGAAUAUUCCUUCACUUGUCUUGACAGGUCCUGAGAAGCAAAUUUUAUGCCUGGAACAUCUUCACUCCUGAGUAACUUCAAGACCAGACAUUUACAGAAAGUCAUUCCUUAGCAUUUCCAGUUACUUUUCAGUUCGGGAAGUUUCUCAAGGUUUCUUGUCAGGGCAGGCUGGUCUUUUAUGAUUUUCAGCCUGCAAUGCUGCUCCUUUCUAUUUCAUCUUGACUUAAUGUCAUUAGUCUUCUUUCAUAGAAACCUGAGUAUUCUUUUCCUAAUUUAUCUAGAUGGUAUCCUGACAGCAGCUCCCUUGAUCAAACUUUGCCAUUUAUGUCUCUCCCCCAGUUAAUCAUUCUCUGAAAUGAGAUUUAUAGUAAAAAAGAAUUAAAUCAAGUCUGACUUCCUUCAAAAUUCUUGACUUUCUGGGAUUCUAGAUGCUCACUCAGGCCAGGCCCCUUGGAGACACUGUGCUUUCUCUCAUUUACUAAACAGGCUGUUAGGGCUAUUUUCCUAUACUGGAGGGCCAUGGCAGUCUUUGUCAUUGGUGAAGCUAAAUAAAGGCUUAAAGGAUACAGAAGUACAGGUUCCCAGAUGUCCUCUUUCCUUCAGAUCUUGAUUUUGUAUCACUCCAUGUGUGGGCAUCAGGUCUGUUUUUGAAUAAAAAUCUCCAGCUUGUGUAACGCAAGAUGAUCCAUUUCAUACAGGUCAAACCUGUUCUAUGCUGCCAGCAGAUUUCUGCAAGUUGAAUUCUUAGUCCCUAUGUGCAAAGUGUCUGUGGCCUGGUCCCCAAAAGUCUAAAAGAACAACUGUCACCAGCAUCUCUAUUUCUCUGACCAGUGAAAAUCUCUACUUUAAGAGUAAAGCUCAUCUAUGAAGGAGGUGAAACUUUUCAUCAUCUUGAGAUGGUAAAAUGAACUGCCUCGAGGGAAUAAAACAAUACCACAAUAAUUACCACCUUCCCCCUCAAUGAGAAGCACAUUUCUUUAUAACUUUGCUGGCAUAAGCAUGGAUAUAAAAUGAAGCUCACCCUUACUUAAACAAGAAGUGUUAUUGACCAGCUUCUCCCAGCUUUGGGAAAAGCAGAAAUUUAAAAUGACACACAGUAGAUGUGUAGUGGUAUUUGUUGGUGCAAGGCCAGCAAGUGCUGAGGUUUUACAGAGCUCAAUACAUCACAGAAAUGUGUGUGUGUACAAAACAGUUGUACGUCUGUACAACAAGUAUGCAGAUCUACAAGUGUACAGAAAAGUUAAAAAACAAACAGAACAAAACAAAAAACCUACACUAGGACUUUUGUGAAAUCUCAUGUGACAGAUCUGCAUUAGUGGUUAAGGCAGAAAUGAUCAUCCAGCUUUGCCAAACAUCACUGAUUUUUACAAGAAAUAGGUUUACAAUCUGCUAAACUGAAGGCAAAUUAUCAUCCAGUUUCUUAUAGUACAAAUGUCUGCAUUUAAAGUAUGUUCUUGUUCUCAGGUCUAAAGCAUUACAAGACCAAAAUGUUCUGUAUCUCAUCUCAAAUUUUCAAACAAUCCAAUAUCCAGACUAUAUAUAGAUAUAUUCUUGCUGU